UACUCCUACGGGAGGCAGCAGUGGGGAAUAUUGCACAAUGGGCGCAAGCCUGAUGCAGCCAUGCCGCGUGUAUGAAGAAGGCCUUCGGGUUGUAAAGUACUUUCAGCGAGGAGGAAGGCAUUAAGGUUAAUAACCUCAAUGAUUGACGUUACUCGCAGAAGAAGCACCGGCUAACUCCGUGCCAGCAGCCGCGGUAAUACGGAGGGUGCAAGCGUUAAUCGGAAUUACUGGGCGUAAAGCGCACGCAGGCGGUCUGUCAAGUAGGAUGUGAAAUCCCCGGGCUCAACCUGGGAACUGCAUCCGAAACUGCAGGCUAGAGUCUUGUAGAGGGGGGUAGAAUUCCAGGUGUAGCGGUGAAAAAGC
rnacentral:rRNA from 1 species